GACGAACGCUGGCGGCGUGCUUAACACAUGCGAGUCGAACGGACCCUUUGGGGUUAGUGGCGAACGGGUGAGUAACACGUGGGUGAUCUGCCCUGCACUUUGGGAUAAGCCUGGGAAACUGGGUCUAAUACCGGAUAGGACUACGCACUGCAUGGUGUGUGGUGGAAAGCUUUUGCGGUGUGGGAUGGGCCCGCGGCCUAUCAGCUUGUGGGUGGGGUGAUGGCCUACCAGGGCGACGACGGGGAGCCGGCCUGAGAGGGUGACCGGCCACACUGGGGCUGAGAUACGGCCCAGACUCCUACGGGAGGCAGCAGUGGGGAAUAUUGCGCAAUGGGCGCAAGCCUGAUGCAGCGACGCCGCGUGAGGGAUGACGGGCUUCGGGUUGUAAACCUCUUUCGCCAGGGACGAAGCGCAAGUGACGGUACCUGGAGAAGAAGGACCGGCCAACUGCGUGCCAUCAGCCGCGGUAAUACGUAGGGUCCGAGCGUUGUGCGGAAUUACUGGGCGUAAAGAGCUCGUAAGUGGUUUGUCGCAUUGUUCGUGAAAACUCACAGCUUAACUGUGGGCGUGCGGGCGAUACGGGCAGACUGGAGUACUGCAGGGGAGACUGGAAUUCCUGGUGUAGCGGUGGAAUGCGCAGAUAUCAGGAGGAACACCGGUGGCGAAGGCGGGUCUCUGGGCAGUAACUGACGCUGAGGAGCGAAAGCGUGGGGAGCGAACAGGAUUAGAUACCCUGGUAGUCCACGCCGUAAACGGUGGGUACUAGGUGUGGGUUUCCUUCCUUGGGAUCCGUGCCGUAGCUAACGCAUUAAGUACCCCGCCUGGGGAGUACGGCCGCAAGGCUAAAACUCAAAGGAAUUGACGGGGGCCCGCACAAGCGGCGGAGCAUGUGGAUUAAUUCGAUGCAACGCGAAGAACCUUACCUGGGUUUGACAUGCACAGGACGCCGGCAGAGAUGUCGGUUCCCUUGUGGCCUGUGUGCAGGUGGUGCAUGGCUGUCGUCAGCUCGUGUCGUGAGAUGUUGGGUUAAGUCCCGCAACGAGCGCAACCCUUGUCUCAUGUUGCCAGCACGUUAUGGUGGGGACUCGUGAGAGACUGCCGGGGUCAACUCGGAGGAAGGUGGGGAUGACGUCAAGUCAUCAUGCCCCUUAUGUCCAGGGCUUCACACAUGCUACAAUGGCCGGUACAAAGGGCUGCGAUGCCGUGAGGUGGAGCGAAUCCUUUCAAAGCCGGUCUCAGUCCGGAUCGGGGUCUGCAACUCGACCCCGUGAAGUCGGAGUCGCUAGUAAUCGCAGAUCAGCAACGCUGCGGUGAAUACGUUCCCGGGCCU
rnacentral:rRNA from 1 species